GUGUUGUAUGAAACAAGAGGCGACUAGCACUCCCCUUGGCAAGGAUGGAAGAGGCCCUCAGGCCUGACAACAUGCAUACCGUUAAGGCAUUGCCUCCUGCUUCAUGGUAUCUCACCAUCAUUUUUA
ensembl:snRNA